GUAAAACGCGGAAAAGGGGGUAAAACGCGGAAAAGAGGGUAAAACGCGGAAAAGAGGGUAAAACGCGGAAAAAAGGGUAAAACGCGGAAAAGAGGGUAAAACGCGGAAAAAAGGGUGAAACGCGUAAAACGUUUUAGAAUAGUUUUUUCUUUACGAGGUAGGUAUGUAGUGGUAAAACUAUAUUUAUAGUCCCUUCAACUAUGAUUUCCACAAAGGGCGUGUGUUAUGUCAUAAAAAAGCAACAUACAUUUACGAUAUUCCGAUACUAUUAACAACCCCGAUAACUCAAAUAUUAACCUCAAUUAACCUACAUAACUACUGG